UACGUAGGGCGCAAGCGUUGUCCGGAAUUAUUGGGCGUAAAGAGCUCGUAGGCGGCUUGUCACGUCGGGUGUGAAAGCCCGGGGCUUAACCCCGGGUCUGCAUUCGAUACGGGCUAGCUAGAGUGUGGUAGGGGAGAUCGGAAUUCCUGGUGUAGCGGUGAAAUGCGCAGAUAUCAGGAGGAACACCGGUGGCGAAGGCGGGUCUCUGGGCAGUAACUGACGCUGAGGAGCGAAAGCGUGGGGAGCGAACAGG
rnacentral:rRNA from 1 species